UUUUUAUAGCUACUGUUUUUAUGGAUCAAACUGAAUAUUUUAUGUCAUUAUAUAUAUAUAUAACUUUUAAAAAGAGAAUCUUGAAACAUAAACUUGAUUUAAUCAUAUUUUCAUGGUGUUUUGAUACAUUUGCAGAAUAUGGGGUUCGAUUUCGUAAAAAACUCAAGCAUGAAUGGGAUAACAUCACUCAACAGUAAAGCCGGACACUUCAAUUUCUUAUCCGUUGACCACUUCAGCAUCACUAGAGUCAACAUAAUAGCUCCCAGCAAUAGUCCCAACACUGACGGAAUCAAAAUAGCUUUAUCAAGUAACAUGCAAAUCUCAAACACUCACAUCAGCACCGGAGACGAUUGUAUCGCAAUGCUCUCUGGAAACACAAAUUUUGAUAUCUAUAAUGUCAAGUGCGGACCGGGACAUGGAAUUAGUAUUGGAAGCUUAGGAAAAAACAAAGACGAAAAGAAUGUUAAUGGUUUAAUGGUUAGAAAUUCGGUCUUUACCGGUACGACCAACGGUAUACGGAUCAAGACAUGGGAAUCUUCAGCUUCAACAAUCCGAAUUAUCAAUUUAGUGUAUGAGAAUCUACAGAUGAUAAAUGUUGAAAAUCCUAUCGGCAUUGAUCAAAAAUACUGUCCUUACCCGCCAUGCAGCAAUAUGGUAACUUACUAUGCAAGAAACAAAUUUCUAUCUUCUUAGAAUCUUCAUCGACUUUAAAAUUAACAUGUUAGUUCAUGUUUUAUCGCAGGGAGAUUCUCACAUUCAGAUCCGAAACGUGACACUAAAGAACAUUUGGGGAACAUCAAAGAAUAAAGUGGCUGUGAAAUUUCAAUGUAGCAAAACCUUUCCUUGCAAAGAUGUUCAGUUAAUU
rnacentral:sRNA from 1 species